rnacentral:rRNA from 1 species
AUUGAACGCUGGCGGCAGGCCUAACACAUGCAAGUCGAACGGUAGCACAGAGAGCUUGCUCUCGGGUGACGAGUGGCGGACGGGUGAGUAACGUCUGGGAAACUGCCCGAUGGAGGGGGAUAACUACUGGAAACGGUAGCUAAUACCGCAUAACGUCGCAAGACCAAAGUGGGGGACCUUCGGGCCUCACACCAUCGGAUGUGCCCAGAUGGGAUUAGCUAGUAGGUGGGGUAAUGGCUCACCUAGGCGACGAUCCCUAGCUGGUCUGAGAGGAUGACCAGCCACACUGGAACUGAGACACGGUCCAGACUCCUACGGGAGGCAGCAGUGGGGAAUAUUGCACAAUGGGCGCAAGCCUGAUGCAGCCAUGCCGCGUGUAUGAAGAAGGCCUUCGGGUUGUAAAGUACUUUCAGCGGGGAGGAAGGCGGUGAGGUUAAUAACCUCGCCGAUUGACGUUACCCGCAGAAGAAGCACCGGCUAACUCCGUGCCAGCCGCCGCUGUAA